GUAGUCAUAUGCUUGUCUCAAAGAUUAAGCCAUGCAUGUCUAAGUAUAAGCAAUUAUACCGUGAAACUGCGAAUGGCUCAUUAAAUCAGUUAUCGUUUAUUUGAUAGUACCUUACUACUUGGAUAACCGUGGUAAUUCUAGAGCUAAUACAUGCUGAAAACCCCAACUUCGGGAGGGGUGUAUUUAUUAGAUAAAAAACCAACGCCCUUCGGGGCUUCUUGGUGAUUCAUGAUAACUUCACGGAUCGCAUGGCCUUGCGCCGGCGACGGUUCAUUCAAAUUUCUGCCCUAUCAACUUUCGAUGGUAAGGUAUUGGCUUACCAUGGUUUCAACGGGUAACGGGGAAUUAGGGUUCGAUUCCGGAGAGGGAGCCUGAGAAACGGCUACCACAUCCAAGGAAGGCAGCAGGCGCGCAAAUUACCCAAUCCCGACACGGGGAGGUAGUGACAAUAAAUACUGAUACAGGGCUCUUUUGGGUCUUGUAAUUGGAAUGAGUACAAUUUAAACCUCUUAACGAGGAACAAUUGGAGGGCAAGUCUGGUGCCAGCAGCCGCGGUAAUUCCAGCUCCAAUAGCGUAUAUUAAAGUUGUUGCAGUUAAAAAGCUCGUAGUUGAAACUUGGGCCUGGCUGGCAGGUCCGCCUCACCGCGUGUACUUGUCCGGCCGGGCCUUUCCUUCUGGAGAACCUCAUGCCCUUCACUGGGUGUGUUGGGGAACCAGGACUUUUACUUUGAAAAAAUUAGAGUGUUCAAAGCAGGCCUUUGCUCGAAUACGUUAGCAUGGAAUAAUAGAAUAGGACGUGCGGUCCUAUUUUGUUGGUUUCUAGGACCGCCGUAAUGAUUAAUAGGGACAGUCGGGGGCAUCAGUAUUCAAUUGUCAGAGGUGAAAUUCUUGGAUUUAUUGAAGACUAACUACUGCGAAAGCAUUUGCCAAGGAUGUUUUCAUUAAUCAGUGAACGAAAGUUAGGGGAUCGAAGACGAUCAGAUACCGUCGUAGUCUUAACCGUAAACUAUGCCGACUAGGGAUCGGGCGAUGUUCUUUUUCUGACUCGCUCGGCACCUUACGAGAAAUCAAA
rnacentral:rRNA from 4 species